rnacentral:lncRNA from 1 species
CCUUGAAUCUCUUUAGCAUCUAAGACCCUUCAGGGAGGGAGUCAGUGCUUCAUAUCUACUCCUCCGGUAUGUCCACAUCCCCAACCCUUUUGCCAAUAAAGCUUUGCCUCAUUUGGCUCAUAUAAUUUUUGCUUUCUCCUCUAAGACAUGGACUCCUUCCAGUGGAUCAUGAGGUCAUCUGUCUCAUACUCCAAUGCCCGUGGGAACUGAAUAGAUUGAUGGCUUCCAUCUUCAUCCUAAGUACAGUAAACCAGGAACUCUUCUUACACUGCUGGGGUGAGCUAUCCAGCAAGCCUUCCUCCUUCAGAAAUCUCCAGAAAGAAAAAGGCACCAGCCUUUAUGUUUAUAUCUCAAAACUUCAUGGAAACAAGGAGAGAAGAAGGAAAAAGCAUUGGCCUGAAGGAAGAGAUUAUAAGACCAUAUAAGACCAUAUUGGAAAGAGCUGGGGAGAUAAAGUAGAUCUGGCUUUUUAUGGAAGAAGCAGGAAGGGCCUGAUCAUGCAAGCUGAUAGAGGCAUACUAAGCAAAUCAUUUAGUCCUGAAAAUUAAAACAACUGCCUAUGGUGUAGUUUAAGGUCCAUUAAAAAAUGGAUGUGUAGACAGAAAUGUCUCCACUCUUCUGUGUGUGUGUGUGUGUGUGUGUGUGUAUGUGUGUGUCUGUGUGUGUGUGUGUGUUUGUAUAAGAGAAAGAGAAAACAGAGAGGGGAAAAAGAGGAAGGGAGGAAGAGAAAAUGGG